rnacentral:lncRNA from 1 species
GAAAAAUGCAUUUCUGCUUAGAUAGUAUGGCUAUUAAGUUUGUAAGUGUAGGGCUGAGGGGAAGUAUCAUUUUCUUUUGAGGCUAUUAAAGUGUCAGAAUUUAAGGACUCGUGUUCAUUUUCUAGGUAUUUUUGAUGACUAUGCCUGAUUUUCUAUAUAUGUUUCUAAAUUUCCCAUCUAUUUUUGUGGAUCAGAAUGUAUUAUAAAGGGAAAAUAGGGUUGGAGGCAUAAAUGGGGGUAAGGUUUUUAUUUUGUGUUUUCUUUUCUGUGAAAUUACAUGAGUGGGUUGGGGCACCUACAAUCACCCAAAAGCUUAU